GGGGGGGGGGGGGGGGGGGGGGGGGGGGGGGGGGCUCUUCCGAUCUAGGAAACAUCUGGCCGCAGCUGGCUGGGAGAGCCUUCAGCACAGCGCUGCGGUGUCAGCCGGGUCUCCUGCCUGCAGCUCCCCAGCCCAACAGCGCUGCUGGCUCGGAGCCCCACGGCCCUGGCGAGGCCCGUGGUGUCACUGCUUCAGAGCCCUGCUGGCCGCAGGGCCACCACAGGGCCACCAGCUGCGCCUCGUGGCGCUGGGUGUGAGCACAGUGGCCGAACGCCGGGGGCGUGAGGGGUGUCAGAGGGGUGUGGGGCUGGGCACAGGGGGUGUGCAGCUGCGUGAGGGGUGUGCAAUUUGGCACAGGGGUGCACAGUUGGGAUCAGAGGGUGUGCGGCCCUGCCCUGGGUGUAACGCUGGGCGCAGAGGGUGGGGGGGGGGGGGGGGGGGGGGGGGGGGGGGGGGGGGGGGGGGGGGGGGGGGGGGGGGGGGGGGGGGGGGGGGGGGGGGGGGGGGGGGGGGGGGGGGGGGGGGGGGGGGGGGGGGGGGGGGGGGGGCCUGCCGCUAGCCCCCUCCUCGCCGCCCCGCGCGCAGCCCCUCGCCGGCUCCUUUUGUUGGCGGCCUGGCCGGCGCACGGGCUCGCUCGGCACACAUGACGGCACAAACUGAAAGGGCCAUUCAUCCCCAGACAAAGCCGGGGCCGCGCAGGAGGGGGGGGGGGGGGGGGGGGGGGGGGGGGGGGGGGGGGGGGGGGGGGGGGGGGGGGGGGGGG
rnacentral:lncRNA from 12 species